rnacentral:rRNA from 1 species
UAGUCCACGCAGUAAACGAUGAGUGCUAGUUGUCGGGGCCUUGUGCUUCGGUGGCGAAGCUAACGCGUUAAGCACUCCGCCUGGGGACUACGGUCGCAAGACUAAAACUCAAAGGAAUUGACGGGGACCCGCACAAGCAGUGGAUCAUGUGGUUUAAUUCGAUGCUACACGAAAAACCUUACCAACUCUUGAAUCCCAUUGACCGCUACAGAAAUGUAGCUUUGGCGCAAGCCACAGUGGUGACAGGUGUUGCAUGGCUGUCGUCAGCUCGUGUCGUGAGAUGUUAGGUUAAGUCCUUCAACGAGCGCAACCCUCAUCCUUAUUUGCCAUCGGGUUAUGCCGGGAACUAUAAGGAAACUGCCUGCGACAAGCAGGAGGAAGGUGAGGAUGAUGUCAAGUCAUCAUGGCCCUUAUGAGUUGGGCUACACACAUGAUACAAUGGUGAUUACAGCAGGACGCCAAGGAGCAAUCUGGAGCCAAUCCU